rnacentral:rRNA from 1 species
UACGAAGGGGGCUAGCGUUGCUCGGAAUCACUGGGCGUAAAGGGCGCGUAGGCGGACUCUUAAGUCGGGGGUGAAAGCCCAGGGCUCAACCCUGGAAUUGCCUUCGAUACUGAGAGUCUUGAGUUCGGAAGAGGUUGGUGGAACUGCGAAGUGUAGAGGUGAAAUUCGUAGAUAUUCGCAAGAACACCAGUGGCGAAGGCGGCCAACUGGUCCGAUACUGACGCUGAGGCGCGAAAGCGUGGGGAGCAAACAGGG